UUUUAAUUCUCCAUUUUCUAUUGUCUAGUUUUGCAAGGUGAUUUACUAGUUGCCGACACAAAUCGUCGGUCAUAUGUAAUUUAUUUCAACCAAAUGCUCUUUGUACUUUCUUUUUCUCCUACUCUCUCUCUCAUUAACUCUCUUGAAUCAGAUUACGUCAGGGAAGUCAUAGAACUGGGAAGAUUAUCCAAGCAACAGAAGUUGGGAACUUUAUGACAGAAGAGGCUCAUAAUAUUUGUAUCGGAGCAGUUCUUGUAAUAGUAUCUUGUUGUGGUUGGAUUGGAGCGGCGACAAGGAAUGGUUGCUGCAUCUGCAUGAGUGGUUUACCUUCAUGAAUUAUUAUGUAUUUGUGGAACAUUUCUAGUAAGAUUUUGAGAUCUUUCAUGCAUAGCUUCUAUUUCGAAUCAACUUGGAUGAGUUUUU